GAUUACACACUCUUCAUUUCUCAAACUCUGGAUUACACAUGUCUUUGUUUCUCAAACUCCUAUCUACGUGUUUGUUUUCUUGCUCUUUCUUUUUUACCAUAUCUACUUUUUCCACCGCUUACCUUCUACUUGUCUGUUCUCUUUUGCUUUUCCAGUUUCUUCUACCCUCCAUACGCUCCUUCCAAACCACCGCCCUACACUCCCUCUUCCACCGUCCGUCUUCAACCACUGCACCCCCAUGGUAAUGUUGUUCGACCUAAGGAGUAUUUGGACUAUGAUCUCACCGACGACGACAACGACGUCGGCCAGACAUCCACCGUCAGGGCGCAUCCACUACCUCUCCCUGACUUUGCGGUUCUGCUCAAACGCGAUUCCUUCACUGUCUUCUACUUUCGUUCCGGUUUGCAUCGGUUGGACGGGUUGGAGCCGACCUCAACUGCUCCACAAACCCAUGUAAAUCGAACCCACAAUUAUUCAUUAGCUUUUAAAACAAACAAACCUCAGUUUUUCUUUCAAUUUGGAAUCAGAUCCAAUUGUGUGCUCUGCGAUUUCAGUUUUGGGGUUAAUUGAUUCAAAGCAAAGUUUGCGUCGGAUACACCGAUUCCGGCGACAGCAGACGUUGGCGAGUCUGCCUCCGUUCACGGAGGAACCACCAUGACGAACCUAAACUCAUGACUUCAUCUCGCAUUCCCCACUGCUCUUAGACGAAAUACACCACCGGUCCACCAUCGAUUCUUCCUUAUGGCCAUAGCGACGCCGGCGACACCGAUUCCGCCGACCUUUCACCGUCAUCUUCAAAACCGAGAAUACAUCGACUAUAUCUACAAUUCUAAACAUCAGUAUGGGGAUAUGCUUCUCUUCGGCGCUCGAUGUAAUGUCACUCUCAAGAAUCACUCUACAAAAUGUUUUUUCUGAAGUUUCAUGACACAUGAAAGGAAAUAACUGGUGUCUUUUGGUCUUUGCAAGAAAACCAAGCAAAAAGGUAUUUGCCAUUAAGUCCCUUAGCCUGGUUGUGGAGAAAACCAGAAGUCAAACUUGUAGGGCCUUGCAGCUUUGAAAAGGAAUGGCUAUGAACAAGAGUGUUAAUCUUAGCCUUCGUGAAGAAAGAGAAAAUGCAGAUGAGCUAUGCAUGGCAAUACAAUAGGUGUUAUGUGAUAAUGAGAAAGAAAGACAUAAGUAUGAAGAAGCAUUGAUUGCUAUCACUGUUGAAGAAACCUUAAAAUAGUUAGAGAUUUCAACCUUUUACUAGACAUAGGUUUAUGCUUUGUAGUUACUGUCAAUGCAUUGGACGACCAGAUUUUUGGGGAGGGGAGUCAGAAAUUUUGCUUAGUUUGUAGGAAGAAAAACAAGAUUCUGAAAAUUGAAGUUAAUAAUGGUUGUGAUGAAAACAGGUGGAAGUGAAGGUGAAAGAGAAUUGGAGACAAGAUGAAGGGCUUCUGAGGUAUUAUGGGUAUUUAGAAAAAAUACAGCUGCUGUUGAAGAUGUUGAAAGGCACUGGGGUACCACUUUACCUGGUAAUUAGAGCCAUCCGGUCAGCCUACUGCAAUGGGGCAAAAGAAGUUGUUCCUGAGCUUAUUUGCCCGGAAAAUAGAAAGUUUUUGGGCAAAGGGUAUAAAGGUCAAAACAAGGGAUUGUUUGAUUAUAUAAUUAUCAUAGUUUUGUGUGUAUAGCGAAAGGUGCAAGUGAGGAAUCGUAUACAACGACUUUUGAAGUUCCUGAUGUUGUAAUGCGCUAGCAUGUGUAAUGUAUGAUCAGUUACAUUUUUUUUAACUUCUUUUUGGUUAUUCAAGGAAUUUGUGAUUGUAAUUUAUAGGUUGGAUUUCUUGCUGGUCAAUUGUGGUCAAUGUAAGGUAAAAUACAUUUCGAUUUUUA